rnacentral:rRNA from 1 species
UACGGAGGGUGCAAGCGUUAUCCGGAUUCACUGGGUUUAAAGGGUGCGUAGGUGGGUUGGUAAGUCAGUGGUGAAAUCUCCAGGCUUAACUUGGAAACUGCCAUUGAUACUAUCAAUCUUGAAUACCGUGGAGGUCAGCGGAAUAUGUCAUGUAGCGGUGAAAUGCUUAGAUAUGACAUAGAACACCAAUUGCGAAGGCAGCUGGCUACACGAAUAUUGACAUUGAUGCACGAAAGCGUGGGGAUCAAACAGG